UACGUAGGGGGCGAGCGUUGUCCGGAUUUAUUGGGCGUAAAGAGCUCGUAGGCGGUUCGAUAAGUCAGGUGUAAAAACUCCAGGCUCAACUUGGAGAGGCCACCUGAUACUGUCGUGACUAGAGUCCGGUAGAGGAGCACGGAAUUCCUGGUGUAGCGGUGAAAUGCGCAGAUAUCAGGAGGAACACCAGCGGCGAAGGCGGUGCUCUGGGCCGGAACUGACGCUGAGGAGCGAAAGCGCGGGGAGCGAACAGG
rnacentral:rRNA from 1 species